rnacentral:lncRNA from 1 species
CCACCAACCUGGGCCAUGGAAAGAUCAGAGGCAGGGAGUGGAGUUGUAGUCACUCCAGGAGUUUUUGAUGCUGUGGUAGAGCAUGUUGUAGGAGCUGCAGUAGUCACAACCACUAGGAUAGUGGUGAUUAGAGCCACUAGGACAAUGACGGAUAGCCAUAGGCCGUAUUGCUGGAACUGUGGCUAUUGGAAUUACAAGUGGAGUAGUGAUGGUU